rnacentral:lncRNA from 1 species
UUGUGGUCUGUGACUCUGUGUCGAACACCGCCAUCUUGUUCAGGUUGUGGCGCUGUGGUUGCUUAAUUAUAAUACGUUUGUGAUUAAAAUUAUGCGCUUCUAAUUUUUUGUAGUUUAUUAUUAAUUUCAAAAUAAACUAGGUAAUUAUAGUGAACAAAGUAUCCAUCCAUUCAGUCAUUGAUGCUGUUAUUAUGUUGUUUACCGUAGAACGAAUAAAAAGGAAAUCUUUUCAAGAUUUUUCCAGAAGUAUUUGUGAUCCUCCAAUGCCUCCAUGAAUCUAAAUUCCUGAAGACUGUGUCAUCACUGCAACUUCAAGAGGAAACCUCAACAACACAGCAAACCAAGAAACUAUUUAUGAGCUCUGGUUUCUGCAUAACAGUAAAGCAUCAUUAUGAAUAUCAGUAAUAAGACGAAGUUUGAAUCUCACUUGUAUAAUCACAAAUGGAUAUAGAACUAUGAAGAUUUGGGAACAGGCAGGAUGUAAUCAAUAAAACCAACCAUUAUUUAAGAACUUGAAUAUGUAUAAAACAUGUAUCAGCUGAGAUAUUGCUGUAGCCACUAACGUGGUUGAAAACUCAAUGUCUUGCAGUCUCAUGAUAAAGUGGUGGCACGAUUUAAGAUCAAAUAGGGCCUGUGCAUCUUCUGCGACAUGGCGAUCUGCUCAUAGGCAAUAUGCCAUUUAUGUAUCUGAUAUCAUUGUGGCGAAUGAACUCUUUUGUUCGCCCACUUUAGGUUAGGCCAUCUACAUUCACAUUCCAGAUUCAUUUCAUAUUUAGAAUUCCCCCGAACGCGCAUGCGUGGAUAUAUUGUUUCGCCCAUUCAUUACAUCUUUACCGUUUAUCCAUUUCGCACCGCUUCAUCUAUUUGAUAUACCUUUUAUUUUAUAUCCAUAUACAAUUGUUAUAAUAAGUAAAGUGAAUAAAUAUACCAAUCAACAUUGUCACCUUA